GCAAGUCACUCGAAAGAACGGGAGAAAACUAAAAGAGAGCGUUUUAACCAGAAAUCCCAGAUUUUACCAAAAAGAAAAAUGAGAGGAAAUAUGAGAGGAGGUCGGAAAUUGCCAGCGAAACUAACGCGGAUGUCAGGUGAGAAAUGUUUGUCGUCGCCCCAAGUUGCCUUCCUGAUAUAAUACAAGAAUCCUUCAGAUUUUCCACCAUGGAUAAAGAUAAAAAUAUAGACUGUACACUUUUUGAAUAAAAUUGUAUCUUCGUAAAAGAUUCUUUUUUAUUACAACGAAAAAAA